UGAGUGUGAAAGCUAGGUUGAGGCUUAGGGCUUGGGAUGACGUGAAUGAGGAGAAACAGUGAGGAGCUGACAACAGUGAUGGGCUCCAGCACCCCCUGAGUGAUUUCUAUGCAGGAAGUAUGGUGGCCACCCUGGCGACAUGUAGAGACAUGGCAGGAUCCACCCUCCA
ensembl:misc_RNA